rnacentral:rRNA from 1 species
AUGAGCUACCCGCCACCGGGCACCGCGUACCCGCAGCCGGGCCAGGAGGCCUACCCGCCGCCGGCGUACGGCGCUCCGCCGCCUGUUGCCGCCAACUACUACCAGCAGCAGGCCCCGCCGCCGGAACCGGAGGACAGCGGCGACGGCUUCUGGAAAGGAUGUUGUGCUGCGAUUUGCUGCUGCUGUCUGCUCGACACGUGUUGCUGA